GCUUCACAUCUCUUAAUUUUGCGCAGGGUUUAAUUUUUCAAUCAACAUCAGGUUGAUUUCUCAAUUUGGUGCGGUUAUUAGGGUUCAUCAGGUUGAUUUCUCAAUUUGGUGCGGUUAUUAGGGUUUGAUUUUACAAACUUCAUCAGGUACAGAAUUUAGGUUUUUCUUUCAACUUGAUUUUAUAUUAGGGUCUA